rnacentral:rRNA from 1 species
CUCAGGAUGAACGCUGGCGGCGUGCCUAAUACAUGCAAGUCGAGCGAAUGAUGAGGAGCUUGCUCCUCUGAUUUAGCGGCGGACGGGUGAGUAACACGUGGGUAAUCUGCCUGUAAGACGGGGAUAACUCCGGGAAACCGGGGCUAAUACCGGAUAAUAAGAGAAGAAGCAUUUCUUCUUUUUGAAAGUCGGUUUCGGCUGACACUUACAGAUGAGCCCGCGGCGCAUUAGCUAGUUGGUGAGGUAACGGCUCACCAAGGCGACGAUGCGUAGCCGACCUGAGAGGGUGAUCGGCCACACUGGGACUGAGACACGGCCCAGACUCCUACGGGAGGCAGCAGUAGGGAAUCUUCGGCAAUGGGCGAAAGCCUGACCGAGCAACGCCGCGUGAGCGAUGAAGGCCUUCGGGUCGUAAAGCUCUGUUGUUAGAGAAGAACAAGUACGAGAGUAACUGCUCGUACCUUGAC